rnacentral:rRNA from 1 species
GUCGAGAAUAAUUCACAAUGGACGAAAGUCUGAUGGUGCAACGCCGCGUGGAGGAUGACGGUCUUCGGAUUGUAAACUCCUGUCAUCCGGGAGUAAGACCUGGCUGUGAAUAGCAGACAGGGUUGAUAGUACCGGAAGAGGAAGGGUCGGCUAACUUCGUGCCAGCAGCCGCGGUAAUACGAAGGUCCCGAGCGUUGUUCGGAAUCAUUGGGCGUAAAGGGAGCGUAGGCGGCGUGGUAAGUCAGAUGUGAAAUCCCGGGGCUCAACGCCGGAACUGCAUCCGAUACUGCCGUGCUAGAGGAUUGGAGAGGUAGCUGGAAUUCUUGGUGUAGCAGUGAAAUGCGUGGAGAUCAAGAGGAACACUCGUGGCGAAAGCGAGCUACUGGACAAUAUCUGACGCUGAGGCUCGAAGGCAAGGGUAGCGAAAGGGAUUAGAUACCCGAGUAGUCC